rnacentral:misc_RNA from 1 species
UAUUCCAUUGCCAAGCGUCAUCCUUUGAUUGGCCAACAAAAUAUUCUACCCGUGUGUGCGGAUCUGCCACCUAUCGGGUCUGUGGAGAGUCAAAAAUGUGUACGGUUAGGAGUCCCCAACGCUGUACAAGUGAAUCCGAAACAUACUUGCUACGUUGGUAAAGGUGAGGACUAUCGAGGGACACGCGCUCACACAGAUUCUGAACUCGCUUGCCAACAUUGGAGUCAUCAGAUUU